UACAGAGGUCUCAAGCGUUGUUCGGAUUCAUUGGGCGUAAAGGGUGCGUAGGCGGCGUGGUAAGUCGGAUGUGAAAUCUCGGAGCUUAACUCCGAAACUGCAUUCGAUACUGCCGUGCUUGAGGACUGGAGAGGAGACUGGAAUUUACGGUGUAGCGGUGAAAUGCGUAGAUAUCGUAAGGAAGACCAGUGGCGAAGGCGGGGUCUCUGGACAGUUCCUGACGCUGAGGCACGAAGGCCAGGGGAGCAAACGGG
rnacentral:rRNA from 1 species